GACCAAUUAGAUUUCCAUUCACAUAUAUCCAACUUCACAUUUCAUCUGUGAAAAGUGUUCAGUAUAUUUGUCGAUUCGUUUGUUUUAUUUUCUAAUUAAUAUUUUUAUUAUCUUUAAAAAUCCAUUACUUUUUAUUCUUUAAAGAUGUUUGGAUUUUCUAAACUAUUGGCUUUUCGCAAUGGUUGCUGCUUAUAUGAGUGAUGUGAUUUUACAAAGAUUUGUGAAUUAUGCGAUACAUUUUCGUAUUAUGUAAAUAAUCACAUCUUCACUGAAUCAAGUUGUCGUGAGAUAAUUCGUCAACCACGAGUUCAACUUUUUUUCACGUUCGAUGGCUCUUAGCCAGUUCGAUUUGUCUCUUAGUCGAGUAUUUUUUUAUAAUUUUACAGCUUUGUAGUUCUUGUCAUUAAAAAAUAAAAAAAAAAAAAAUUAACUAAUUCUAAAAUUACAAACAAAAACGACUAAAAGACAAAUCUAAGAGAAAGAAUCUAUUAACUUUAAAUUCAAUGAAGAAGAAGUUGAUUUAAUUUAAUUGUGCCGAAAGAUGAAAUAAUGUUACAACAAUCAAUGUGGAUAUAAUCACUCUCACUCUCUCUCUAUCGCCAUUGAAAGUGGAUAAGAUUUUGGCUGCUUCACUUGCAGGUAUUGUUGAAUUGGUGCAACAAGAUUUUGGAAUAGUUCAAAUCGUCCUUCUAUAUUUUAUGUGUCUAAUAAACGUGGAAUUUUCGAUGCAACGAGAGUGGAAAUAAUUGGAAGUAUCGAUGGUCUGGUAAUUGCUAAGAAUUUGUCAAUGUGGAUGAAAAAAUUUCAAUAGUCUUCGAAAGAGACAAAUUUUAGAUGUGUAUUAUUAUAAUCGAAGAAUUGCAUUCAAUAGAAAUAUAAAAGCCUACGAGAGAGGACGAAAUUUUAUUCAUAUUGCAACUGCAACUGUCAUAGAAGAAGAGGUUCUUAAAGAAGAACAACCAACAAUGUAAAUUGAAGUUAUUUCUACAAUAAUGCAGCACAAAUAAUAAAAAAUUGGAAAACAGGUGUCUAAUACUAAAUUUUAUCAGCGAGUAAUUCAAGUAUCGAGCAUUGACAUGUUAAAAAUUAUGUCAACAUCCAAAUAAGAGAUAAAGGAAGCAAAUAUAUUAAACAGAGCUAGUUUAAAGGAGUUAUAACUACUGAAAAUUAUUUUUUUUUGGUCGUCAAAAUUUUAAUGAGAGGGAAUUAAAAUUCCGCCUAAGGUUCUUAAAGAAGAACAACCAACAAUGUAAAUUGAAGUUAUUUCUACAAUAAUGCAGCACAAAUAAUAAAAAAUUGGAAAACAGGUGUCUAAUACUAAAUUUUAUCAGCGAGUAAUUCAAGUAUCGAGCAUUGACAUGUUAAAAAUUAUGUCAACAUCCAAAUAAGAGAUAAAGGAACCAAAUAUAUUAAACAGAGCUAGUUUAAAGGAGUUAUAACUACUGAAAAUUAUUUUUUAUUUGGUCGUCAAAAUUUUAAUGAGAGGGAAUUAAAAUUCCGCCUAAGGUAAAAGG